GGUCCAAUGGUCUAGUGGUAUGAUUCGUGCUUCGGGGUCUCCCAAUCAGUUGCUCAAACAACUAAUCAGCAUGUGCGAGGUCUCGGGUUCAAACCCCGAUUGGACCC